GGAAGAGACAGAGGCGUCAGGAGGACAAUCCCACCUUCAAGCGGAGGUUGGGUCAGUCCGGGCCGGGAAAAGGAGCUGGAAGGAGUCUGGCCACAGAGCAGGGCUUCUGACUGCCCGCGAUCUUGGGCGAGUCCCCUCCCUCCCUUCCUCUCUGGGCACGAGGGGGCUGGACCAGGUCCCCCAAAAGGUCCCUGGCCUGCUGCCCCCGUACCCAGAAGGCACUUGGUAAAAGCCCGUUUCUCCCCCCUCGCCACCCCCCAAAAACACAGGGGGCACAAACUCCGGCUAGCAGCCUCGAGGAAAUUCUUCCCAAAUCCCAGGCUGGGGAGACGGGCAGAACACCGGGGGUCCCCCGGAAUUACACCGACAUGCACACAAAAUACACUCCCAAGUGCCACAAGUCUGGGCCCCGUGACCCUGCUAAAGGCAGGAGGACACAAAAAUACCUGUAACCCCCUUCCCACUGUGGCAAAAACCAAGUGACAUCAGGAAAGUCGUGCCAGAACCGGCAGCUAGGGGGGGCAGUGGGCCUGCAGUCAGCAAGAGCGGCUCAGAUCCAGCCUGGGCCAUUUACUAGCAGUAGGCUCCUGGGGAGGUAACUUCACCUCGGUUUUCCCCAGCUUUAAACCAUAAAAUGGGGAUUUUACAGGGCUGUUGUGAAGAGGUUUUGCAUACAGCAGGUGGUUAAUAAAUGCUUGUUUCCCUUCCCCAAUGGGAAAGGAAGGAACUGACGGAUUUGAGAGGCCCCAGUAUGAACUAAAAGCGGGCCCAGAACUUUUUGACAGCAUUAAGGAGGAAACGCCAUCCUGGCUUUCUCCCAGGUGCUUCUGCUGGGUUUGGCCCUGGGGGCUCCAAGCCUCGGGGAAUUCAGAGAAGGAGGAUUCCUAGAACUUGCAAGAAAAGGCCAGCCAAAAGAGGAAGCGGCCAUCACUCCCGCAAUCUUGGCUUCCAGGGGAGCAGGUCCUGCCAGAACCGACUUACUUCCCUUUGUGGGGGGGACUGAGCCGUCAGCGAAGGCCCUCUGCUACUCCCCAGGGCAGGGUCUAUGUUGGGUGGGAGCGUGUCUCUUAACCUGACCCCACUUAGUGAGAGCAUCUUCCCUCGGGUAAUUAUCUCCAAGUUAUCCUGCCUACAAUUUGUUUACUCUGAUCUACUAGUUUGCAUGUGUUCUCCUCCACUUCUAGAGGGCAGAGCCUGGCAUAUAUACAGUAGGCGCUUAAUAAAUGUUUGGUGACUGGUGAUUUAAUCUCUUAGGACCCUGAGAAACUCUCUCUGAUGGAGGGAGGGCUGCCAUCCCACAGAACCGAAGAAAUGACUGCUCUAGUACCGCUCCCUAUCAGCCCGACACUAGGGGGACGUCCCCGUGGCUUUCUGCUUGGUCCAAAUCUUCACCGCCGAUUUGGAGAAAUGACAAGAUGGUUUACACUAAAUCCAGGUAACAUGCUAAGCCAGGAGAGAAUCAGCUCCAGUCAGAACCGGCAGGGGGGCAGCUUGUUUGGAUCAGACCCAGGAGGUCUGGGCUUGCCAGGGGCCAACGAAGUUUCAGGAGAUAAGGAGGGAGAAGUAAAGGGAGGGAGGGAAGGAAAAGGGAAACUGGGAGACAGGAAGGUGGAGGAGGGGAAGGGGAGAAAAAAAGACCUGGUGUUUCCAGGGGGCCCCUGAGGUGAGUCAGUGGUGUCACGUGACAGUCCAGAUGUCCCGAACCUUGGCCGGGCCACAAGGGAAGCCUAGGCUAGGUUCUGGGCACCGUGUCUGAAUGGUAUCGUUCCCCUUAAGAGUCCAAGGGAGAAAAGUGAAAGAAGUGAAAAGAAGGCUGGAAGGACACAAAGCAGCGGUAGAAGCGGUGGGUCCCACGUUGAGCCUCCCAGCACUGAGGGCUGUCCCGGGGAGGCUUCUGGGGGAUCCUCCCUGCUGGAGCAGAGCCGGCAGCGCAUCUGUCGGGGACCCGCUGCCCCAUGGGAUAGCAGCAGCAGGAGGAGACCCCCAGCCACACAGGCCCACGCUCACAGUGUCUGCCCAAAAACUGCAAACGAGGCUCUGCCCGAACAGGAGAGAACGGCCCACUGGGACGUGAGAACGGGACCACUCCCAAAGACACGGGGGAGACAGCAAAGGCCAGUGAGCGUGCCCAAUGCCAUCUCAUCCCAUCUUCCCUCAGUGGCAGCCGGGGGCUUGUUCACGCCCAAUUGUGGUCUCCUCCAACAGAUCCGAAACUCUGAGAGACAUGGGGCCGGUUUUGCCUUUUUGCCCUUCAUACAAUGCCUGCAUAUAGUAGGUGCUUAAUAAAUGCUUGCUAAAUGACAAGUUAAGGUCAGCUGGGAGAGGCAGCAAACCUCUGAUCCGGUUUGAGAUUCAAGAAUACACGGCCCCCUUUUGGGUGACUGUUCAUGGGGCAUUUGGUUGCCUGACUUUCCCUUGUAGGAAGACAAAAUAUCCAAUUAAAAAAAUUUCAAGCAUGGCAAGAAAAAAGGAUGCAGGGAAUCUGUGAGACUUGGAUCCCUCUCUGAAUGUACAAGACGCUUAACAGGCUCAAGGCCUGAGGUUUAGGGGCACCCUCUUUAAAGAGGCUCAUGGUAAGCACCCCAAAAGUCUAUUUUGGGGUAAACACCCCAAAAGGGGGCACGGCUAGGGGGCGCAGUGGAGAGCGCACCUGCCCUGGAGUCAGGAGGACCUGAGUUCAAAUCAGACUCAGACACUUAGCACUUCCUAGCUGUGUGACCCUGGGCAAGUCACCUAACACCAAUUGUCUCAGAAAACAAAAAAAACUAUUUAAAAAAAAAGAAUUACUGAACUAUCUGAAAGCCAAGAUUUGGGGCAGUGAGAUGGCUCAGGAGCUGGAGCCCCCACUCUGGGGUCAGAAGGACCCGGAUUUAAAAGCAGCCUCAGACACUGGCUAGCUGUGUGACUCUGGGCCUGUCACUUGACAAUAUAAGCUGAGGGCUAUGGGGGCGUUUCUGAGAAUCUGGGAUACCGGCUUCUGUUGUCAUUUGAGCCUCACAACAACCCCAGGAGGAGGAUGCUGUUGCUAUGGGGAGGUAGGAUUGGAAGCCAGGUCCCCCUGAUCAAAGUGGCCGCUGAGUCCAAAGCCAGACUCAGCUACUUCCUGGCCGGGUAACCCAGGACAAGUCCUGUCUCAGGGCCGUUAUGAGGAUAGAAUGAAAUGUUUAUAAAAAGGGCCAACGGCCCUAAAAUGCUUCUCCCUCCUCUUCCCAUCCUCACUCCGAGUCCCCCGAACGCCACGGGGUGGAGGGUUAGCUGGCUCCCCAUGCUCAAACUCUCCAGGCGGGCAGGACCGCCCAGAGACGGCUCCCCUCGGGGAACUCGGGGCCGCAUCCCUGAUGUGGAAACGCAACUGUGGGGCCAGCCGGUGACAACCACAGAGGGACUGGGAACGGUCCCAGGGCCCAGUCCUGGGGCCGGUGACAACCAGAGGGGCUGGGAACGGUCCCAGGGCCCAGUCCUGGGGCCGGUGACAACCAGAGGGGCUGGGAACGGUCCCAGGGCCCAGUCCUGGGGCCAGUGACAACCAGAGGGGCUGGGAACGGUCCCAGGGCCCAGUCUUGGGGCCGGUGACAACCAGAGGGGCUGGGAACGGGGCCCCGGGGCCCAGUCCUGGGGCCAGUGACAACCAGAGGGGCUGGGAACGGUCCCAGGGCCCAGUCUUGGGGCCGGUGACAACCAGAGGGGCUGGGAACGGGGCCCCGGGGCCCAGUCCUGGGGCCAGUGACAACCAGAGGGGCUGGGAACGGUCCCAGGGCCGAGGGGCUGGGAACAGUCCCAGGGCCCAGUCCUGGGGCCGGUGACAACCAGAGGGGCUGGGAACGGGGCCCCGGGGCCCAGUCCAGGGGCCGUGGGCCUGAAAAGGGAGCUUCACACCUGAGUAAGUUAACUUCUGCGGGCCAAGUUUCUCCAGAUGGAGAUACAAGGAAGAAGUCUUUCUGUAAGUAUGUCAAAUAGAGACCUCUGUCCCAAAAUGAGGUGUCUGACUCCCUUUCAGAUGAGUCCAUUAACCUCUUCCACCCAUGUUGCCCUGCCCUGCCCAGCCCUACCCAGCCCCGUCCAGUCCUGUCCCCACCCAGCUAAGAGAACCAAAAGGUCAUCUACUUAACCCUCCCCCCCAUCUUUUUCCCCUUUACAGAUGAAAAAACCACAUGACCCACUAACAAGUCCGUCCCUCCCUCGCUCUGUCUGCAGCCUUGAAGGGGGUACAGAAUACUUACCCUCAGCCUAGCUCCCAGCAAACUACCUAAAGGGAGCCCCCAUGAGAGCAUCCCUCCGGGUGGAGCCUGGUGACCACCAGAAACGAUCUCUGUGCAGCCCAAACAAGAAUUACACCAAGCUUUCCCCGUUAGCGUGAGUGACGACUCCUUUGAGGUGGCGACACGUAUUUAAAUUGCCAUUAUUGGAAAUUGUAACCCUAUAAACUACAGUAACUGAUUCCUGCCCAAGGAGGUAAGCAGUGUGAAUUCAAAUAAAACCACUUCAGUGGGGACUCCUGAUCUGUCCUAACUUGGAGCUGACUGGACUGGAAAGAGCUAGCUAGUUGGCGCAGUAGCCUGGGACCAGAAAAACGAGUUCAAAUCCUGCCUCAGACUCUUGCCAGUCAUGUGGUUUGGGGCAUGUCACGUCAUUUGUCUGCCUCAGUUUCUUUGCCUGUAACAUGGAGAUAAGUCAGAACACCUACCAACAUCCCAAUGCUUAUCGUGAGAACCAAAUGAGAGAAUGGCAAUAAAGGACUUGGCCCGGGGUCUGGCUCAUAGUCAUUAUUAUUACAAUGAGAUCACACAAACACAAAUCUGAAGGCAUUCUUUAAAUGCCAGCUCUGAUUACUCCCCUUCAAAUGCCUAAUAUUCCGAAUCAAACCAGCCUAUACUUUGGACCCCAAACUAGAUUCUAUUGUCAUGGCUGCUAAGUACCCCUCAUCUCUUAGAAUCAAGGUGCAGGAAACCCACCCAGAGUGGAGUUCACAGAAUCCCUUCUCCGCCCCCUUCCCGCUCCCUCCACCCUCCCCCCCCCCCCACCUAUGCCUCCCCAAUCAGCAAGGAACUACUGAUUAGGAGUAAUUUACUAGUUAUCUGGAAGUGGAAACUUGAAUUUAUACAUUCCUUUAGGAUUUGCAAAUGAAAGGCAUCAAGUUGUACCUCAUCUCCUCCCCAUGACUCUUUUCAUGGAAUUAGAGCAGGGAUCCUAGAAAGGACCAGCCUCUCCCCCUUUUCUUUUUUUUCUUUUUUUUUUUUUUUGCUGAGGCAAUUGGGAUUAAGUGACUUGCCCAAGGUCACAUAGCUAAGAAGUGUUAAGUAUGUGAGAUCAGACUUGAAUUCAGUUCCUCCAGCCUUCAGGGCUGAUGCUCUAUCCAUUUCGCUACCUACCUGCCCUUCCCCAUCUUUUAAAACAAAUUUAGUCCCUACUAUGUGCUAGGCUCUAAGCAUUAGUACUGGGGAUAAAAACAAAAGUUAGAUAGUCCCUGACCACAAGGAGCUCACAAUCUAACAGAAGAGACAACCCACUAACAGCUAUGUACAAAAAGAAGAGAUAAACUUGAGAUAAGAUUUAUCUUUGGUUAGGAAAGAUUUCCUAUAGAUGGAAUUUUAGUUGGGACUUGGAAGAAAGCCAGGCAGAUCAGUGGGCAAAGCAGAGAAGGGACAGGCAUGGGCAACAGCCAGAGAGCAUGUCUCCAGAGCCCAGAGAAGGAGGAUCUUGUCCCAGGAACAGCCAAAAGGUCAGGGUGACUGUACCGAGGAGAAUGUUUUGGAGAGUAAGAUGUGAAAAGAUUGGGGACGUAAGGUCAUUUUAGGGGAGCUUUGAAUGUCAAGCAAAGGAUUUUGCAUUUAUUCCUUGAUGUAACGAGGAACCACUGGAGUUUACAGAGUAAGUGGUGACAAAAUCACACUGGCAUUUUAGGAAAAUUCCUUUGGUAGCUGAAGGGAGCAUGGACUAGAAUGGGGAAGAGAGUGGAAACACCACCUCCACCUCCCAGCAGCUAUUUUAAUGAUCUAGGCAGGAGGCAAUGAAGCCCUGGAUCAAGGUGGGGGAAGUAUCAAGAGUAGAAAGGGGAUAUUCAAGAGAUACUGUAGAUGAAACUGAAGAGAUGCAAUUGACCAGAGAGGCUAGCAGAGGUGAAAUCCACCAGAGGCUGCAGAGGAGAAAUGCACCAGAGAGGCUGCAGAGAUGAAAUCCACCAGAGAGGUUUUAGAGGUGAAAUUCACCAAAGAGGCUACAGAGGUGAAAUCCACCAGAGAGGCUGCAGAGGUGAAAUCCACCAGAGAGGCUGCAGAGGUGAAAUCCACCAGAGAGGCUGCAGAGGUGAAAUCCACCAGAGAGGCUGCAGAGGUGAAAUCCACCAGAGAGGUUUUAGAGGUGAAAUUCACCAAAGAGGCUACAGAGGUGAAAUCCACCAGAGAGGCUGCAGAGGUGAAAUCCACCAGAGAGGCUGCAGAGGUGAAAUCCACCAGAGAGGUUUUAGAGGUGAAAUUCACCAAAGAGGCUACAGAGGUGAAAUCCACCAGAGAGGCUGCAGAGGUGAAAUCCACCAGAGAGGCUGCAGAGGUGAAAUCCACCAGAGAGGCUGCAGAGGU